GUCUCUGCGGGUGAGACUUGCCAGGGAGGCUUCACCGCACAGGCUAGGCCCCGGGGCGGGCGUGAGCAGCCCGGAAAGCCCGGGACCAAGGCCAGUUCGGCCUGCCCGCCUGGGGUUGGGAUGCUAGGGGCCUGCACUCCCGGGAGCUGGGGGGCCUGGUGCUGCAUUUAUGAAGCGCCUGCUGCAUUCGCGCAGAGCUCAGCUGCCUGAGUUACUGGCCAGAGAGGCUCACCCAGGCACACUCCACCCCAGGGAGAAGUUUGGAGACAGGGUGCUUGCUGCGCAUGAGAAUGGAGAGAGGGGACUGGAUGGCCCUGGGUGCAGGACCCCAACUCUGGGGCUCUGAGGAAGGCUGCGGUGGGGGGCUGGUGGCAAAGCCUGAGAUGCCUGGAGUGGGGGGAGAGGGACCUGGGGCAAGUAAGGCAGGAGGAACCCAAAGGAGCCAGACAGGAGAGGGUGACCCCUGGGUCUGGCUCUGGGUCCCCCAGCCAAGUGCCUCUGGCUUCUCAGACUCCGUGUGCUCAUCAGCAAAUUGGUCGAGGAGAGUGUCUCUGACCUGCUGCUCCGGCCACCCCACUGUUCCAGAAUGGCCUGCCUUAGAGAAUCCUGCCCCUCUCCUUGUUAAAAGGUGCCUUGGUUCAGAACCCUGUCCACCUUCCUCCAGAUGGCAGGGAGGAAGAAAUCAACACAUCACCCUGCCUAAGGCUUGCUGUUCUAGGAGGAAAAGCAAGCAGAUUUGAGAGGUGGUGACUGCUGUGAAAGCCGCUCAGCCACGUCCGACUCUAUGUGACCCGUGGACUGCAGCCCGCCAGGCUCCUCUGUCCAUGGGCUCCUCCAGGCAAGAAUAAUGGAGUGGGC